rnacentral:lncRNA from 1 species
ACAGGAUAACGAUAAAUUAAUUAUAUUUACAAUCUACGAAUUUUAGGACAUAAAUCCCAACACUACUAACAAAUUAAAAAAUCAUUUGACAUAAAAAGCAAUGCUGUCAUAAACUCCAUAAUAGCCAUAAAACAAAUCAAUCACAAACUACUCAUUCUUUUUUACCACCUAUUCUAACAUUUCCAAAUAUUUAAAUUGAAGUUGAAAUUGAAAUUCAUAUCCAAAUUCAAUUUAAAUUUAAAUUAAAUAUCAAAUUCAAAUUAAAUAACAAUCUCAAUUUCAGUAAACAUCGGCCCCAUCUCAAAUUUAAUAAACAACCCCCUCUCGCGUCCCCUCAAUUCAAUAUAACCCCACAAAUCUCAACAAUCUUAAAUUAUUUAUCGAUCUCAAAUUCAAUAAUACUCGAUGUCAAUCUUAACUUCUAAAACCAAUUCAAAUUUAAUACUAAUAUUUAGAAAUAAUUAUAAAAAAAUGAGAUUAAAUUUGAAUACAUACAUUAUAUCAAUACAUACAUUUUCUAAUACAUAACAUACAUUGGAAUCUAAAUCAUAAAAAUAUAAAUUACAUCAUAGCAAUACAUUCAUUUUUCUAAUUAAAAAAAAAGAACAAACCUUGAUUGAGAGCGAUGGCGAUGGACGGCGAGGAAGGACAAUGGGUGGUGGAGAACUCUGGCAGCGACGACGACGGACGGUAACAGUCACACUCUUUCUCUGCCCUCUUUUUCUUUUCCUUUCGUUGUGCGUUCUUAGCUAGAUUUUCUCGACGUUUUUGAAAACGUCAGAAAAUACAACCAUCCCCGACGUCAUAAUGUGAAAUGUCGGAGAUAUUAUAAACUUUCCUCGACGUUCCAAUAAUGGCGUUGAGGAACAUAAACCAUUAAAACUUAUACAUAUAGUUUUCCCCAAUGUGGUCAACAUAGAGUCAGGAAGGUGGAACCAACCCCAAAGUUUUUGCAGACACAUCGGAAAAGGUUGAAGCAUUAAAUAAUUAAUUUGGCUUCCGUGACGUUUCUCCCCUUUACGUCGAGGAAAGUGGACCAAUUAAAUCAUUAUUUCACUUUUUUCGACGUAUCUAUUCAGCAGGUCGGGAAAAAUGUAACUUUCCCUGACACGGGUUUUCCUUGACGCCGGGAAAUGCUUAUUAAUAAAUAUAAAAAAACUAAAAAAAUGGCAGAGCUGUUCCAACCUCUAAAUGUAUACGUCAGACGUGCUACUCUAAACCAACGCUUGCAAAGAAACAUCAGGAAUGGUAGGUCAUUCUCGAUGCUUUGUAUCCUGACAUACUUGGCCACGUCAGCUGUUGGACUAAGUUGUGAAACGCGUUUUCUUUUAAACGUUUCACGACUCUGCUUUAGGUGCUAGCAGUUGUUACAACCUCGUUGUCCCCGAAAUAAAACAACACUUGAAUCCACCAAAAUACCAAUUCUCAAGAUAAACAUUCACUAUACUCACGAACUAAAAAAUAAUAGAGAAAUAAAUUAUAAUAUAUUUUUUUUCUGCAGAAAGAGAGAAAAUGAGAGAGAAUUGAGAGAUGGUGAAGUUCUUGUGUUCUAUAAAAGAGAGAGGAGGAGAAGGGUUUAUACAGUGGAGGGAUGAAGGGUAAAAUUGAAAUAAAAAUCCAACGAAUUACCACAAUUAAUCAGAAGUGCUUCAACAUUCAAAAUGUCAAAAAGAGAAGGAGAAGUUCACAUCGCCCACAUUCACUUUGAAUAAACAACUGCCUUAUACCCUAUUUUUGGUCCUAAUAUAAAAAUAUUUUUUAAUUCUUCACCACCAGAAAAUUCGAG